AGUGAUCAGAAGUGAGAAUGUUGACAUGAGUAGCGACAAACAGGGUGAGAGACCCUGUCGCCGAAAGUCCAAGGGUUCCUGCUUAAAGCUGAUCUGAGCAGGGUAAGCCGGCCCCUAAGGCGAGGCCGAAAGGCGUAGUCGAUGGGAACCAGGUUAAUAUCCCUGGGCCAGGAGAUGGUGGCGGAUCGCAGAGCUAGUUUUUCCUUAUCGGAUUGGGAGGGCUGGUGAGUGGUUCCUGGAAAUAGCCCUCCAUGAGACCGUACCCUAAACCGACACAGGUGGACUGGUAGAGAAUACCAAGGCGCUUGAGAGAACCACAUUUAAGGAACUCGGCAAAAUACCUCCGUAAGUUCGCGAGAAGGAGGCCCCGUUGGCAGGCAACUGUUGGCGGGGGGCACAAACCAGGGGGUGGCGACUGUUUACUAAAAACACAGGGCUCUGCGAAGUCGUAAGACGACGUAUAGGGUCUGACGCCUGCCCGGUGCCGGAAGGUUAAAAGGAGAUGUGCAAGCAUUGAAUUGAAGCCCCGGUAAACGGCGGCCGUAACAAUAACGGUCCUAAGGUAGCGAAAUUCCUUGUCGGGUAAGUUCCGACCUGCACGAAUGGCGUAACGACUUCCCCGCUGUCUCAAAUGUGGACUCAGCGAAAUUGAAUUGUCUGUGAAGAUGCAGACUUCCCGCGGUUAGACGGAAAGACCCCAUGCACCUUUACUAUAGCUUCGCACUGGCAUCAGGAUUGUGAUGUGCAGGAUAGGCGGUAGGCUUUGAAGCGGGAACGCUAGUUCCCGUGGAGCCAUCCUUGAGAUACCGCCCUUCGCACUCUUGAUGUCUAACCGCGGCCCGUUAUCCGGGUCCGGGACCCUGCGUGGUGGGUAGUUUGACUGGGGCGGUCGCCUCCCAAACAGUAACGGAGGCGCGCGAAGGUUGGCUCAGACCGGUCGGAAAUCGGUCGUUGAGUGCAAUGGCAGAAGCCAGCCUGACUGCAAGACUGACAAGUCGAGCAGAGACGAAAGUCGGUCAUAGUGAUCCGGUGGUCCCGAGUGGAAGGGCCAUCGCUCAACGGAUAAAAGGUACGCUGGGGAUAACAGGCUGAUGAUGCCCAAGAGUCCAUAUCGACGGCAUCGUUUGGCACCUCGAUGUCGGCUCAUCUCAUCCUGGGGCUGGAGCAGGUCCCAAGGGUAUGGCUGUUCGCCAUUUAAAGAGGUACGUGAGCUGGGUUUAGAACGUCGUGAGACAGUUCGGUCCCUAUCUGCCGUGGGUGUAGGAUACUUGAGAGGAGCUGCCCCUAGUACGAGAGGACCGGGGUGAACGUUCCACUGGUGGACCAGUUGUCGUGCCAACGGCAGUGCUGGGUAGCUAUGAACGGACAGGAUAAACGCUGAAGGCAUCUAAGCGUGAAGCCCCCCUCAAAACCAGGUAUCCCUUGAGAGCCGUGGAAGACCACCACGUCGAUAGGCCGGAGAUGUAAGUGCAGCAAUGCGUUCAGUUGACCGGUACUAAUGGCUC
rnacentral:rRNA from 1 species